rnacentral:rRNA from 1 species
UAGGCUGAAACUCGCCUACAUGAAGCUGGAGUUACUAGUAAUCGCAGAUCAGAAUGCUGCGGUGAAUGCGUUCCCGGGUCUUGUACGCACCGCCCGUCACACCACGGAAGUUGGGGGCGCCCGAAGCCACUUAGCUAACCCUUUUGGGAAGCGAGUGUCGAAGGUGAAAUCAAUAACUGGGGUGAAGUCGUAACAAGGUACC